GAUGAACGCUGGCGGCGUGCCUAAUACAUGCAAGUCGAGCGAAUGGAUUAAGAGCUUGCUCUUAUGAAGUUAGCGGCGGACGGGUGAGUAACGCGUGGGUAACCUGCCCAUAAGACUGGGAUAACUCCGGGAAACCGGGGCUAAUACCGGAUAACAUUUUGAACCGCAUGGUUCGAAAUUGAAAGGCGGCUUCGGCUGUCACUUAUGGAUGGACCCGCGUCGCAUUAGCUAGUUGGUGAGGUAACGGAGCACCAAGGCAACGAUGCGUAGCCGCCCUGGGAGGGUGAUCGGCCACACUGGGACUAAGACACGGCCCAGACUCCUACGGGAGGCAGCAGUAGGGAAUCUUCCGCAAUGGACGAAAGUCUGACGGAGCAACGCCGCGUGAGUGAUGAAGGCUUUCGGGUCGUAAAACUCUGUUGUUAGGGAAGAACAAGUGCUAGUUGAAUAAGCUGGCACCUUGACGGUACCUAACCAGAAAGCCACGGCUAACUACGUGCCAGCCGCCGCCGUAA
rnacentral:rRNA from 1 species